rnacentral:lncRNA from 1 species
AUUCUAGCUGGAGGUUUCGAGCCGAAUGAUCGGGUCUGCCAACCAUCUCUAGGUCAGAUGAGUCUUUACAAGGAGUGCUUUCAGGUCGGGUUAUGGCUUCCUCUUCAUCUCUUCUUCAUAUAGCUCUUCCAAUACUUCAAGAUGUCGCCGUGCUCAGUGGUCCCAAACUCGUGGCAAUAUAUCUAUGGCUUCACUGUAGUAUGUGUGCUGGUGGGGAUUGAUCCUAGUAUCGUGCUCUUCUGUUCUCUCUUUAGCCUCAAAAAGCAUCUGGAGUCCCAUGGCUGGUGGUACGUAAUCGUGAAGGAAGAAGGACAUCCACCCAGUAUCUUUUUCGAGGAUUCCCACCAUCGUUUAUGGUUGGAACCACGAUUCCUCUUCAUCUCUCAGACGUUCGAUGAGGAUUGGGGGUUUAUCAC